ACGCUCGACACCUACGGGGCAGCAGUGGGGAAUAUUGCACAAUGGGGGAAACCCUGAUGCAGCGACGCCGCGUGAGUGAAGAAGUAUUUCGGUAUGUAAAGCUCUAUCAGCAGGGAAGAAGAUGACGGUACCUGAGUAAGAAGCCCCGGCUAACUACGUGACAGCAGCCGCGGUAAUCUGAGCGGGCUGGCAAGGC
rnacentral:rRNA from 1 species